rnacentral:rRNA from 1 species
AGUGAACGCUGGCGGUAGGCCUAACACAUGCAAGUCGAACGGCAGCACAGUAAGAGCUUGCUCUUACGGGUGGCGAGUGGCGGACGGGUGAGGAAUACAUCGGAAUCUACUUUUUCGUGGGGGAUAACGUAGGGAAACUUCCGCUAAUACCGCAUACGACCUACGGGUGAAAUCAGGGGAUCUUCGGACCUUGCGCGAUUGAAUGAGCCGAUGUCGGAUUAGCUAGUUGGCGGGGUAAAGGCCCACCAAGGCGACGAUCCGUAGCUGGUCUGAGAGGAUGAUCAGCCACACUGGAACUGAGACACGGUCCAGACUCCUACGGGAGGCAGCAGUGGGGAAUAUUGGACAAUGGGCGCAAGCCUGAUCCAGCCAUACCGCGUGGGUGAAGAAGGCCUUCGGGUUGUAAAGCCCUUUUGUUGGGAAAGAAAAGCAGCAGGUUAAUACCCCGCUGUUCUGACGGUACCCAAAGAAUAAGCACCGGCUAACUUCGUG